GCCUCCAUAGUUUAAUGGAUAAAACACAAACCUCCGGAGUUUGAGAUGUGGGUUCAAUUCCUGCUGGGGGCA
rnacentral:tRNA from 1 species